rnacentral:sRNA from 1 species
GCUAGGUGCAGUGGCACAUGCCUGUAAUCCUAGCAGCUCGGAGGCUGAGGCAGGAGAAUCCUGAGUUCAAAGCCAGCCUCAGCAAAGGUGAGGUGCUAAGCAACUCAGUGAGAUCUUGUCUCUA